rnacentral:rRNA from 1 species
UGCCAGCCGCCGCGGUAAUACGGAGGGUGCAAGCGUUGUUCGGAAUUACUGGGCGUAAAGCGCACGUAGGUGGCUUGGUAAGUCGGAUGUGAAAGCCCUGGGCUCAACCUGGGAAUUGCAUUCGAUACUGCUUAGCUAGAGUAUGAGAGAGGGUAGUGGAAUUCCGGGUGUAGCGGUGAAAUGCGUAGAUAUCCGGAAGGAACACCGGUGGCGAAGGCGACUUCCUGGGCCAAUACUGACGCUGAGGCGCGAAAGCGUGGGUAGCAAACAGGAUUAGAUA